UGUCGCUGCCUCGAAUGCUGCAAAGGAACCCUUCUGGUACAAAAAGUUCAUCACAGAACUUAGAAUAAUGACAUCAGAUGCCAUCCCGCUCUAUUACAAUAACAAUAGUGUCAUAGCACUAGCUAAGGAGUCAAGGUCUCAUCAAAAAUUUAAAUGCAUCAAGUGGCAGUUCCAUAUUAUACGUGACUAUCUCGAGAAGAAAUACGUUG
rnacentral:lncRNA from 1 species